rnacentral:lncRNA from 1 species
UUUUAUUCAAUAUCACAUUUUUCAAGACAUAUUUAAUGUUAAAAAUUAAGACUUAUGCUACGAUUGGAUUGAAUAAUGAAACGAAGAGUGGAAUGAUUCAUUCUAUUGUAGUCGGAAUGAGUUAUUCCGUACUCUCUAUCCCUUAAGAAAUAGAAUUCAUAAAUUUUGGAGUAAUAAGAAUGAUUCGAUCCAUUCCAAUCGCAAUUAAACACAAUUUUUUU